GGUCAGUACUUGGUGGGAAGGAGUAGCUGUCACUGCUGAAUGACAAAGCAUCUGUGUGUAAAUCGAUAAUUCUCUUCAUAAAUGUCCACUUCUGCUAAUUUAACUCAGAAAAGCACAGUACUCCAUCCACACAGAAGCAAGGAGUAUAUCUGGGAAUGUGCUGCAAAGGAAGGGUUUGGACAAAGCAAGAACUAUGGUAGGAGCACAACAGCUAAAAUUAUAUCAGUUCUUUCUAUAAGGAAGUGCCACUUCCUGGGAAUAAAUUGCUUUCCACAUUAAAUAUUUCACUGCUUAGAGCUGUGUUUGUUGCAGCAAAGUUUUAAAAUUACAUUGAGGGUUAAUUAAUACUGUUGGCAUCUUCUAUUAAGACUUGUAGGCUUUCUGGAACAAAUUUGCUCCCUACUUUUUUCCUCCUUACUGAGUUUUGCAGUUUUUUUAGACUCCCUUGUUAAAUAGUGGUAGUUACCUUACAGUAACUACAGUCAAUUAAUCUGGAGCUCAGAAGUUACCUGGAAAAAUUCCUACAGCUGGAGCAGUUAGCAGGGACAAAUUCAGAAUCAAUAUGAGUAACAAAACUAAUUGGCAAAACAGAUGUGAAAAAAGCAAAUGCCAACAGCAAGCUUUAUUCAGAUUGUCAGCCAAACUGAGGAUUACUUCUUGUGGAGCUGUGAAAGAGCCUAGCAAACAGCAUCUGGGAAUUGGGAGCUCCUGGAGGUGCUGGGAUACAAUGUAUGGAGAUGCAAUUGUUCCAGGCUAGAGCUGCACCUACAGGAUCUUGCCCCCUGAAUUGAGCCUGGAUCUGCCUGCUGGGCAAGAGGACUUGCUGUGUGCUCUGGUUCUCUGGUCAGCAACACUGGAGAUAAAAAGGAGCAGUGAUCAAUUUACAGAUUUAUGUGAGGUGAGGGAAAAAAGCCACUACCUUUGUGUGACACUUUGACCCAUUCUGCCACUAGACUCACACUCGGCCC